GAGAGCUUGUACUAGCCUACCUGAUUAAAGAAAGAAUACUUCAAMAUGAGAAGAUCCUGCCAUGGAAGAGACGACUGGGUGGACAUAAAGUGGAAAGGAGGGGAAAUAACUCACACCAUGCAGCAGGACACCUUCAGCUGCGUGGUCUUUGUAAUGCAGAUGGCCAAGGAAGUUGCACAGAACUUCCACAACAUCCCCUACCAUGGAGCAACUGCGAAAAGAAAUGGCUGAGGGUAUACUAAAAA